rnacentral:rRNA from 1 species
UUCCCCUAGUAACGGCGAGUGAAGAGGGAAAAGCCCAGCACCGAAGCCUGCGGCAGUUUUGCUGUUAGGCAAUGUGGUGUUUAGGCCGGCUCGCGGGAUUGCCACUCCACUCGAAGUCCAGCAUUGAGUAUGGUCACUGGAAUUGGCCCAGAGAGGGUGAAAGGCCCGUACGGGUGGAGUUUCAGACAAGUCAGGCAAUUCACCAGGUCGACCUUCGAGUCGGGUUGUUUGAGAAUGCAGCCCAAAGUGGGUGGUAAACUCCAUCCAAGGCUAAAUACUAGCACGAGUCCGAUAGCGAACAAGUACCGUGAGGGAAAGUUGAAAAGUACUUUGAAGAGAGAGUAAACAGUACGUGAAGCCGCAUGCAGGUAAACGGGUGGCGCCAAGCUGCGGGCUUGGAGAAUUCAGUUGGCUAGGUUGCAUGAUGCGCCUGACGCGUCUAUCGGUCGGAAUAAGCAGUGAUAGUCCACUGGUAAACGGUGGGCCCGGUCGCAAGACUGGGAUAUGUGUACCGAGCGGAAGCCGGAGCAUGCUAUCUAUCUGUUGGACCGCCUAGUCAGUGCACUUUCUCUAUGGCCAACACCACGACCGGUAGUAUUGCCAGUCUGCUGUAGCCAAGUCGUAUCUGAUGGGUCCUUGUGGCUAAUUGGGUGCGAUCACAGGCAAAUCCAGUGAACGGCGUAGAGUGGCUCUUCGGGGACGCUUUGCGUGUUAUCGGUAACUGGUUGUGAUCGGGUCGCUUGAUGGCGCGGUAACCGUUGUCAGGUGGCCUGGUGGGCUAUGGUGGUAAGAAUAACUGUGCAAGGUACCGGGGUUAGCGACCUCAAUUGCUAUCUGCACGCACGUUGCCUAGUGUAAUGUGGGGAUGGCGUAACCGUGGUCUGCCUGUUGUUGAGUCUGAUUGUCGUGUCGCCCGCAAAAAGUGGGCCCGGCAGUGGCUUGAUGCGGGAUGGGCUGUGGGCGUUGUCUCUGGUGUGGACUGUAGUGGGUCUGAUAGUCAGUGGUGCGGCGGUAGGCUAGCUUCCCGACCCGUCUUGAAACACGGACCAAGGAGUUUAACAUGUAUGCGAGUCAAAGGGUCCUACGAAACCCCAAGGCGCAGUGAAAGUGAAGCUUCGACUUGUCUCGGAGUGUGGUGAGAUCCUGCUGUUACUCGCAUCAGCCUUGGUGUCAGCAUCAGGCUUAAGAGCGGUAGGCGCAUCACCGGCCCGUCUCAUGAUGUGGUCAUUGGAUGUAUGCAGUUGCUGCGCAA